CGAGAAGCAAAACAAAAUGAAGUCAUGGGAGCCGAGCUUUCAGGUGUCGCUCUGCAGCAGCAACACUUAUGAGAACGAAAGCUGAUACUCAGACACGUCUCUCUCUCUCUCUCUCUCUCUCUCUCUCUCUCAGUCUCUUGCUUCUUCAAUCGCCUUUGAUCAGGCACUACCUAAUAUUUACUAUAGGUUCUCAUCUAAAGUUUAGUUCAAUUGUACAACCUCAAAAUGUCCAGUGGAGAGGUCAGAAGGGUCUCACGUCAAGAUAUACAACUGGUUCAAAAUCUUAUAGAACGAUGCCUUCAACUAUACAUGAACCAGAAAGAAGUUGUGGACACUCUUUUGGUUCAGGCAAGAAUAGAGCCUGGCUUUACUGAACUUGUUUGGCAAAAGCUUGAAGAAGAGAAUCGAGAUUUUUUCAAGGCAUACCAUGUUAGACUGAUGUUAAAGAACCAGAUUAUGAUUUUCAAUAAGUUGCUCGAGCAACAGGUUGAACUCAUGCGAAAGAAGAACCCAGCUGGGGUUUCUUUACCUGUUUCUAAUGGAUCACAUGCCUCAACAUUCCACCAAAAUCCACACUAUGUGGAGGAACAAAGAGUGACUCGUUCAAGACUGGACGACAUGCACCAUUCAGUAGAUCCCUCAAGUGCUCUCAGAAAUGGUAGGCCUUCCAUGCUUCGGAGUACGCAUACUGCUGACGAUGCCUCUGCCCAUGAUGGAAGCAUGGAUCUCUCUGUAAACAUGCUUUUGACUCAGAAUUCGGAGAUGGGAAUGCUACAAGCAAUGAAUGGGAUGGCAAUCAAAUCGGAACCUGGAUACUCGAACAGUUCAUCUUUCGUAUAUGGUGCUACCGAUGGGAAUGUCCUGGAAACACACUCAACAAUUGGAGAGGCAUCCAUCACAUCUUUUAGCAGCACUGAGUCUAACUCACAGACCUUGAAUGAAUCGUCCCUGGAUGCUAAUUUUGGAUUCCUACGCCAGAUUCCUCGCACUUUCAGUCUUUCUGACUUGACAGCCGACUUCUGUCAGAGUUCUGAUAUAAUGGAGAAUUACUCGAGGUCCCCUUUCCUAGAUGCCGAUGACUUCCCUGAUUCCCCUGGAAGGGAAUGCCAAGCAGGAGAAAAUAAGCGGCUUGACACCAUAUCAGAAAGCUUGAGUUAUGAAGAUUUUGGGAGUGAUUGAUCGAAUGGUCAAAUCGGCUUUUGCAAUGGUCGUGUGUGAGAGGGUGAAUGCCAUGUAUGUGAUCAUCCCUCCUCUCAUAUUCAGUUGGGACAUGUGGGCUGAUUGUUUCUUCAAGUGUGAUGUCUGAGAGGGUGAAUGCUGUGUAUGUGAUCAUCGCUCCUCUCAUAUUCAGUUGGAACAUGUGGGCUGAUUGUUUCUUCAAGUGUGAUGUGUAUGUCGUGUGGAGCAUGCAAUGGGAGCAUUCUUAUAUAUGGAAGAGAACCCUCAUUUGUGAGGUUAUGGACCUAAGUUGUGUACUCACUGUAGACACAAAUCAUACUUUUGAGAAAUGAUGGGAUAUCUAUGAGAAACCAGCUUGGGUAUUGUUCUACUAGUUCUACUCCUACAACUCAAUAGCCAAGUACAUCAGGUGAUAUAAUCACGCCUUGGAAAGAUGAGUAUUCUAAUUUGUUGAAUAAUUAAACCUACCUCUUGGCUUCCACUUCUACAGCCACAUUCAUGAAAUCAAGUAUUAUUUGUUUAUGAUCCAAGUCCUCUGCCCCAUGGGAUUAUCCAUUUUGGUGCCUCUGAUCAUAUAACAGGAUCUAAAGCCAGAAAAGAAGACUGGUGGACAUAAAUAUAGUGAGCUUUACUAUUUUGACCCUGAAGCAAUUGGAGCAGUAGCACAAAACAUCUCUCCUUACCACUACUCUUGUUGUCUUGGUCACCCGUUCUUGAAGAUUCUCAAAAGUGUUGCUUCUUCAUUAUCGCUUGUGUCAGCUUUAGAAUGUGAAGUCUGUGAGUUAAGUAACCAUCAUUGAGUCACUUUUUCAUGUGUGAAAAACCAUAGCCUGGUUCUACGUUAGAAGCAUGCCAAUCACACAAUCGUUGUUUUCGCUCUUUAGAGCCAUCUCAAUCACACAGAGAAAGGCAGACUUGUAAAUUGAAGUUCCUUGUUCAAAUUGUAUGUUGAACUGGCCUAUUACUCGAGAUAAGAAAUAUGGUUUGUACAUAAUUUAUA